GUCAGAAGGUAUGAAAAGUUCCUGCCCCAAUGACACUGAACUGAGCUGCUCCGGGUGAGAAUAGAACCUUCCAUAUUUUGUUCACUCGCAGAUAGAAGAGGCGCGGGAAUGUCUGUACUCGCGAGUGUACUUAAAGUGAGUGUAUGUAAAGCAGGGUAUGCCUGUAGUCACUUUAUAAAUCACUUACACCCAAUAAGGAGAAGAGGAGGAGGGUGCAAGAGGGAAAACAUAAAUGGGAAAAAGUGUAA